rnacentral:rRNA from 1 species
GACGAACGCUGGCGGCGUGCUUAACACAUGCAAGUCGAACGGAAAGGCCCUGCUUUUGUGGGGUGCUCGAGUGGCGAACGGGUGAGUAACACGUGAGUAACCUGCCCUUGACUUUGGGAUAACUUCAGGAAACUGGGGCUAAUACCGGAUAGGAGCUCCUGCUGCAUGGUGGGGGUUGGAAAGUUUCGGCGGUUGGGGAUGGACUCGCGGCUUAUCAGCUUGUUGGUGGGGUAGUGGCUUACCAAGGCUUUGACGGGUAGCCGGCCUGAGAGGGUGACCGGCCCCAUUGGGCUGGGGAUCCGGCCCAGACCCCUACGGGAGGCAGGGGUGGGGAAUAUUGCAAAAGGGGCGGAAGCCUGAGGCAGCAACGCCGGGUGGGGGAGGACGGCCUUCGGGUUGUAAACCGCUUUCGCCUGUGACGAAGCGUGAGGGGGGGUAAUGGGGAAAGAAGCACCGGCGAACUCCGG